UCCUUGGGAUGAUGUUAAUCCACGUCUUACAUGCUGCAAAGAAGCAGAACCUGCAAAGGUGAACCCACUGUCUCUCGCAGUAUGAAAUGAGGAUAGCUUGUUCUCUGAACAGUCUGAUGGGA